rnacentral:rRNA from 1 species
AGAGUUUGAUCAUGGCUCAGAUUGAACGCUGGCGGCAGGCCUAACACAUGCAAGUCGAGCGGUAGCACAGAGAGCUUGCUCUCGGGUGACGAGCGGCGGACGGGUGAGUAAUGUCUGGGAAACUGCCUGAUGGAGGGGGAUAACUACUGGAAACGGUAGCUAAUACCGCAUAACGUCGCAAGACCAAAGUGGGGGACCUUCGGGCCUCAUGCCAUCAGAUGUGCCCAGAUGGGAUUAGCUAGUAGGUGGGGUAAUGGCUCACCUAGGCGACGAUCCCUAGCUGGUCUGAGAGGAUGACCAGCCACACUGGAACUGAGACACGGUCCAGACUCCUACGGGAGGCAGCAGUGGGGAAUAUUGCACAAUGGGCGCAAGCCUGAUGCAGCCAUGCCGCGUGUGUGAAGAAGGCCUUCGGGUUGUAAAGCACUUUCAGCGGGGAGGAAGGCGUUAAGGUUAAUAACCUUGGCGAUUGACGUUACCCGCAGAAGAAGCACCGGCUAACUCCGUGCCAGCAGCCGCGGUAAUACGGAGGGUGCAAGCGUUAAUCGGAAUUACUGGGCGUAAAGCGCACGCAGGCGGUCGAUUUAACGCGUUAGCUCCGGAAGCCACGCCUCAAGGGCACAACCUCCAAAUCGACAUCGUUUACGGCCGCAAGGUUAAAACUCAAAUGAAUUGACGGGGGCCCGCACAAGCGGUGGAGCAUGUGGUUUAAUUCGAUGCAACGCGAAGAACCUUACCUGGUCUUGACAUCCACAGAACUUAGCAGAGAUGCUUUGGUGCCUUCGGGAACUGUGAGACAGGUGCUGCAUGGCUGUCGUCAGCUCGUGUUGUGAAAUGUUGGGUUAAGUCCCGCAACGAGCGCAACCCUUAUCCUUUGUUGCCAGCGGUUCGGCCGGGAACUCAAAGGAGACUGCCAGUGAUAAACUGGAGGAAGGUGGGGAUGACGUCAAGUCAUCAUGGCCCUUACGACCAGGGCUACACACGUGCUACAAUGGCAUAUACAAAGAGAAGCGACCUCGCGAGAGCAAGCGGACCUCAUAAAGUAUGUCGUAGUCCGGAUUGGAG